AAUAAACUAAUUUUUCACUUUUUACCUUCAAUUUUUGACUCUUCGUCUUAUUAAAAAAAAUUAUGAUUGAUAUUUUUAUUUUUAUGAGAUGAUAAAUCAUGAAUAAUACUUUACGUGUGACUAAUUUUUUUCUAAUUACUUGAAAAUUUUUCAAAUAAGACGGAUGGUCAAACGUUGGACACGUAAACC
rnacentral:pre_miRNA from 1 species